UUAAAUCAAACAUUUGAUCUGACAGAAAUGUCCAAUGUGGAGUGAGAGUGCAUCUGUUACUGACACAAAGCAAAGGGAGGUCAGUUGGAGUUCACAGUAUGAGUAACAUAUUUUAGGCCAAUAGAAGAUACCCAUGUUUUGUUGUUUGUUUACUUUGGGCAUUUCUCAAUACACGUUCUUGUCUGUUCUUCUGUUCUUACGAUCUUGUGAAAUGUCAUCAGUUGCAGCCCGAGUUCUGUUCCAUUUGAAAUUUGACACAAACUAAGAUUGGAUGGAAUACUGAGAUGUUCUUGUCUGCUAACUUAAGCCAAGGAUGCACUGGUUGGUGACUCGUGUGGACUUGGCUGGCAAAUAUCCCCAGAUGCAUUUCGUGCCACUGUCGAUUUAUUCUGAAAGGCAACGGUGGCUUCUGUGACAACUUAAUUCAUAAAUGUUUUAUUGAGUUGAUGACCAUGACGAGAUGAUGUGAUACAAUGUUGGAACACGCGAGAAGCAGAAUAGUGAGAAAAUACAUCUUUAUUAUCAUGAUAUGAGAUUCAACAAAAUUAGUUUAUCUACAGUAGUUUUGAAGAAUUUAAGAAAUGUUUAAAAAAUGUAAAUGACAUGUACACGUUUGCUCAAAGGUACUGAAAUCAAUUGAGUGACAUAUUGUGGUGGAUUGCGGGAAUAUGUUAGGGAGCCGAUGGUGAAAAUACAGCAGAGCCAGGGAGGAAAUUUAUGAGAUUUA